AUUGAACGCUGGCGGCAUGCCUUACACAUGCAAGUCGAACGGUAACAGGUCUUCGGAUGCUGACGAGUGGCGAACGGGUGAGUAAUACAUCGGAACGUGCCUAGUAGUGGGGGAUAACUACUCGAAAGAGUGGCUAAUACCGCAUGAGAUCUACGGAUGAAAGCAGGGGAUCGCAAGACCUUGUGCUACUAGAGCGGCCGAUGGCAGAUUAGGUAGUUGGUGGGAUAAAAGCUUACCAAGCCGACGAUCUGUAGCUGGUCUGAGAGGACGAUCAGCCACACUGGGCCUGAGAAACGGCCCAGACCCCUACGGGAGGCAGCAGUGGGGAAUUUUGGACAAUGGGCGCAAGCCUGAUCCAGCAAUGCCGCGUGCAGGAUGAAGGCCUUCGGGUUGUAAACUGCUUUUGUACGGAACGAAAAGCCCUGGGUUAAUACCCUGGGUCAUGACGGUACCGUAAGAAUAAGCACCGGCUAACUACGUGCCAGCCGCCGCCGUAA
rnacentral:rRNA from 1 species